GGGAAGACAAGAGUGAAUGUAGGCGAAGAGAAAAGGGACGGAGCAAACAGGGGCGGCGAACGAAUAAAGAAUGUCUACUAAUAUCGGUGACCAUUCUAUAAAUGGAAGGACUGUGUAGAUCGUGAGAGCGUACAUAGUAGCGAAGGCAAUGGGCAUCACGGCGAUCAGACAAGGAUCGAACAUUCGCUUCUGUAUAGAGGCUCUCAACAGGGGAAGAGCGAAAAGCACCAAGGCACAAACGUAAUCCUUGGUGAUGGAGAGAUAUAAAGAACAUAUUGUAAACCACUUAUUCAAGUGGAUACGGGCUGCAGUGUAAUGCAGCGAGGUAUGGACAAAUAGUUGACAGUACGGAAUAUCAUUGCAUAGAAGGGCACUUUCAUUAAAGGUCCCAUCUGAGAAAGGAUCUGAAGAAUACAAUAAAUUAUAGCCUGAGAUAGGUUGGAAAACAGCUGAGUGUAAUUUUGGUUCUUGUAAGCAAGCACCAACAGGGGAAAACCUGGAAAGCAACAUCUGAAGCUCACCCCGAUUACCCCUGAGGCCGCGGAUACUCCACUGUAAAUAGGCCAUGAUUGGCAAUGAAGAAAAUACCAGGAAUCCGUAGGGAAGGGCACCUACGGACUAGAGGGGUUAGAAAAGUCAACGUG